rnacentral:rRNA from 1 species
AUUGAACGCUGGCGGCAUGCCUUACACAUGCAAGUCGAACGGUAACUGGUCUUCGGAUGCUGACGAGUGGCGAACGGGUGAGUAAUGCAUCGGAACGUGCCCAGUAGUGGGGGAUAGCCCGGCGAAAGCCGGAUUAAUACCGCAUACGACCUGAGGGUGAAAGGGGGGGAUCGCAAGACCUCUCGCUAUUGGAGCGGCCGAUGUAAGAUUAGCUAGUUGGUGGGGUAAAGGCCUACCAAGGCAACGAUCUGUAGUUGGUCUGAGAGGACGACCAGCCACACUGGGACUGAGACACGGCCCAGACUCCUACGGGAGGCAGCAGUGGGGAAUUUUGGACAAUGGGCGCAAGCCUGAUUCAGCAAUGCCGCGUGCAGGAAGAAGGCCUUCGGGUUGUAAACUGCUUUUGUCAGGGAAGAAAUCUUCUGGGUUAAUACCUCGGGAGGAUGACGGUACCUGAAGAAUAAGCACCGGCUAACUACGUGCCAGCAGCCGCGGUAAUAC